AUUCAAUGAUUUGGACAAUUUCUCAUGAACUCCUUCAAAUCUAUUCCAUGCAUCAUUAUAACUCUCCUCAUUCCUUUGUUAGAAUGUUUGAAUUUUCAAUUGGAUU
rnacentral:snoRNA from 1 species